GAAGUACUGAGAAGGGAAUGAAGAAAAAAGAAAAGGGAAAAAGAGAAAAACAGCAAAAAGAAAAAAAGAGGAGUAGAAGUAUUACAAAUUAUUUAGGUUUAUUUUGUGACCUUUUUCUCUCUUUUUUGCAAUGGCUCGCUUGUACAUUUUAAUGAGUGCUUUGCUCGGGCAUUCCCUUUUUGGUCAUCCGUCAUUCGCAGUCACACACAAGCUCCAGUAUUUCUACACUGCAGUCACACCAGGAAUGAAUUUCCCAGAGUACACUGAUGUUGGUCUGGUUGAUGGAGAGCCAUUUGUGUACUAUGACAGCAACAUAAGGAAAUACAGCCCAAAAACAGAGUGGAUAAAGAAGAUCACUGAUUCUGAUGCAGACUACUGGAACAGCGGGACACAGGAUCAGCAAGAUGCAGAGGAGAUCUACAAAGAAGAUGUAGUUACACUAAUGAAGCGCUUUAAUCAGACUGAAGGAGUUCACACACUACAGAGGCUGUACGGCUGUGAGAUUGAUGAUGAUGGGACUGUUAGAGGAUAUGAUCAAUUAGGUUAUGAUGGAGAAGAUUUCAUCAGUCUGGAUCUGAAAACUGUCACCUGGACUGCAGCUAAACCUCAGGCUGUUAUCAACAAAUACAAACUGGAUGCUACAGGAACUGCUGAUUUUGACAAAUACUAUCUGGAGAACAUCUGUAUCGAGUGGUUACUGAAGUAUGUGUCUUACAGCAGAGAGAUUCUGGAGAGGAAAGAUCGUCCUGAGGUAUCCGUCUUCCAGAAACACUCGUCUCCAGAGGUGGUGUGUCACGCUACAGGUUUCUUCCCUAAAAGUGUGAAUAUCACCUGGCAGAAGGAUGGAGAGGAUGUGUAUGAGGACGUGGAGCUCAGUGAGACGUUACCCAACCAUGAUGGAAGUUUCCAGGAGAGAAGCGUUCUGAAAGUCCCAGCUGAGGCGCUGCAGAAACACACCUACACCUGUGUGGUUCAGCACAGCAGCCUGGAGGAGGAGAUAGUGAUGCCUGUGAGCCAGAUCCUGAGAGGUGGAAGAGUGAAUGUAGUGUUUGGUAUCGUAUUUGCUGCAGCUGUGGUUCUUGUUGCUGUUGUUGGAAUUCUCAUCUGGAAGAAGAAGAAAUCUGGCUUCAAACCCAUCACACAAAACAUGCACAGUUCAGAAGAAGAGAGUCUAAAAAGAACAAGAAGUCUUCUGGAAUGAGAAUGAGGCCAGGAAACAUAAUCAGCACGAUGCACACUUUUUAGAGAUUGUGCUUACAGGCCAAACGAAGGCCCCUCGCACCUCCAUCACCAGAUUAACAGAAGACCCCAAAUUUAAAGAGCUUCACUGUUUAGGAAGCUUGUGAAAUGCCUCCUGACAUCAAUCUGAUUGGGUUAGGCCGCUGCAACAUAUCAGAGAGGUAAUUGGGCCCUGUACCAUUUAGAGAUUUGUACACCAGCAGCAAUGCUUUAAAGUCAAUUCUGUAGCUUACUGGGAGCCAGUGAAGGGACCUUAGAAUUGGAGUAAUGUGUUCUGUUCUUUUUGUUCGUGUGAGAACCCUAGCCGCUGCAUUUUGAACCAGCUGAAGUCGUUUGAUGGUCUUUUUUGGCAGGCCUGUGAAAAGGCCAUUGCAGUAAUCAACCCUACUAGAGAUGAAGGCAUGUAUAAGUUUUUCCAGAUCAUUUUUUGACAUAAGUCCUCUUAGUUUGGAAAUGUUUUUUAGGUGGUAAAAUGCCGUUUUAGUGAUUGCUUUCAU